rnacentral:lncRNA from 1 species
UCGUGGAAAGGCGGAGGCGGGAAAGGUCGGCUUUUAGGGUUGGAGUUGAACGUCAGAUCUAGUUUUGCAUUUUUCAGAUCUUCGGCGGAAGCUUCAUGGCGACGGCGCGUGGCUCAGUGGGAACCCUCCUCCACCUCGGAUCUACUACCCUUUGCGGCGGUGUGAUGACUGGAGGAGUGAAUCAACGGACGGCGGAUAAUGGUCAUGCUCUUCGGUUUCUGGAGACGUCACCGCGCAAGGCUCCACACCGACGGAGUGGUCAUGGGCUUUGGUUGGGGUCGUGGUAAAACAAUAUAUCCCAGCUCCGGCGGCGAUUUCAA